UAACAAUGGCUUUAGUGGCGGACUGGUGAGUAACACGUGAGCAACCUGCCUAUCAGAGGGGAAUAACAAUGAGAAAUCAUUGCUAAUACCGCAUAAGCUUGUAGUACCGCAUGGUACAACAAGAAAAGGAGCAAUCCGCUAAUAGAUGAGCUUGCGGCUGAUUAGCUAGUUGGUGUGGUAACGGCCCACCAAGGCGACGAUCAGUAGCCGGACUGAGAGGUUGAACGGCCACAUUGGGACUGAGACACGGCCCAAACUCC
rnacentral:rRNA from 1 species